AUGGCGGAUGAUGACCAGCAGUGGAAGAUCCCACCCAACGUGCAGGAGCUGGCGGCAGCUGGCCCGGAGGAGCCACCGAGCCGAUACGUGGUCCGCGACCAUGACCGCCCCGCGCUCGCCGGCGCUGGCGGCGACGUCACGGACCCCAUCCCCGUCGUCGACCUCGGCCGCCUGUCCUCCGGCGACGCAGACGAGGCGGCCAAGCUGCGGUCCGCCCUCCAGACCUGGGGCCUCUUCCUGGCCGUCGGGCACGGGAUCGAGCCGGCUCUCCUGGGCGAGAUGAUGGCCGUGACGAGGGAGUUCUUCAACCUCCCGCUGGAAGAGAAGCAGAGGUACACCAACCUGGUCGGCGGCAAGAAAGAGUACAGGAUCGAGGGGUACGGCGGCGACAUGGUCCUGUCGGAGACCCAGGUCCUGGACUGGUGCGACCGGUUCUACCUCGUCGUGGACCCGGAGUCGCGGCGCCUCCACGACCUCUGGCCGACGCGGCCGCCCUCCUUCCGGGACGUCCUGCACCGGUACUCCGCGCGGUGCAGGGAGCUCGCCGACGCCGUGCUCCGGGAGGCCGCCGGCGCGGCGGGGCUCCCCGACCAGGGGCGCCUGGCCGACAUGCUGGACGAGAAGGCCGUGACCUACGUCCGGCUCAACUGCUACCCCCCAUGCCCGCGCCCCGACCGCGUGCUCGGGUUCAGGCCCCACUCCGACGGCGGCGCGCUCACCGUCCUCCUCGCCGAGACCGCCGGGCUCCAGGUGCGCCGCGACGACGACGCAGGCGGCGGUGGAUGGCACGACGUGCCCGUGGUGCCCGGCGCGCUGGUGGUGAACCUCGGGGACACGGUGGAGGUGGUGAGCAACGGGGUGCUGAGGAGCCCCGUGCACAGGGUGGUGGCGGGCGCGGAGAGGGGGCGGGUGUCCAUGGCGAUGUUCUACACGGUGGACCCGGAGAGGGAGGUGGAGCCGGCGCCGGAGCUGGUGAGCGAGGAGAGGCCGAGGCGGUACGAGAAGACCAAGAAGAGCGGCGACUACGUCAGGGAGCUGCUGGAGAGCUUGGCGCGAGGGGAGCGGGCCAUCGACAAGGUGAAGGUCGUCUGA
rnacentral:rRNA from 1 species